GGGAGCUGGAUCUCCCUCCAGCUGCAGCAGCCAGGGGAGGGUUCUUCCUUGUGCAGCCCAGUGGCUUCUGCUCAGGCUGGCCCAGAGUGGGGCUGGGGCAGGUUCUCCAGGGAACUGGAGCCAGCCCUGAACGGGGCUCUGGAGAGCAGGGAGCUGCAGGGACUGAGGUUUGCAAAGCUGGGCUGAAGUUUGUCAAAGCAGCAGAACAUUCUCAUUCCUGUGGGUCUGUGGAGUCCGUGUUGGUGCCCAGGAGAACUGGGUCAGACUGGGCUUUGUGCUCCGAGAGCUGCCCCCCUAAAUGUGGCAGGCUGUGUGUGCUGGCAAGGAAGUGCUGUCCCAGAGGCUGAUGGUUUCUGUCUCCAGGUGUGCCCAGGACACUGCCAAUGCCCAGGGAUCUGCUCUGGGUCCAGACUGUCCGUGCUGGAGGGCCCUGGUGGCUGCAGUCCCUGAGCCCGCAGAGACAGAGAGAGCCCCGGCCCGAGGGGCCUUUGGCCCCUUGUCCUGAAUUUGGGAUGCUGGAAUUGCCUCUCUGGGUGUGUGCUGAGCUCUGGCUGCAGGGGACUGUCAGGCCUUGGUGGCUCUGUUCCCUGCUGUCCAUUCCCUGGCCUGAAUUCCUUGCAGCUCCCAGCUGGGGAAACCUGGGAUAACAUGGCAGGGACAGAGGUGACAUUUGUAGCUGCCAACUUGGGGUAAUUUCGAGGGGCCCCAGCGAGUGUUUCUGAAGGAAAAGGUGAGGUGCUGCAGAGGGGAGGGAGGUGGCAUUUUGGAGGGGUCCCACUGAGGGGGGAGUGGAGAGCCUGGGGCUGGAGUGUGAGUUAUUAAACAGGGAAGAAGAGAAGGAUGCUUGGGAGGGAAACACUCAGGGAAUGUGUAGGGAUGGAAUGGAAACUUGGGGCGUCAGGAAGAGAAAAUGGGUGAUGUAGAUGAAGGGAAAUGUUGGGUGUAAGAGUUGAUCU